CCUACGGGAGGCAGCAGUAGGGAAUCUUCCACAAUGGGCGAAAGCCUGAUGGAGCAACGCCGCGUGGGUGAAGAAGGUCUUCGGAUCGUAAAACCCUGUUGUUAGAGAAGAAAGUGCGUGAGAGUAACUGUUCACGUUUCGACGGUAUCUAACCAGAAAGCCACGGCUAACUACGUGCCAGCAGCCGCGGUAAUACGUAGGUGGCAAGCGUUAUCCGGAUUUAUUGGGCGUAAAGGGAACGGAGGCGGUCUUUUAAGUCUGAUGUUAAAGCCUUCGGCUUAACCGGAGUAGUGCAUUGGAAACUGGAAGACUUGAGUGCAGAAGAGGAGAGUGGAACUCCAGGUGUAGCGGUGAAAUGCGUAGAUAUAUGGAAGAACACCAGUGGCGAAAGCGGCUCUCUGGUCUGUAACUGACGCUGAGGUUCGAAAGCGUGGGUAGCAAACAGGAUUAGAUACUCCAGUAGGC
rnacentral:rRNA from 1 species